GUACACUCCUGCGGGAGGCAGCAGUGGGGAAUAUUGGACAAUGGGCGCAAGCCUGAUCCAGCCAUGCCGCGUGAGUGAUGAAGGCCCUAGGGUUGUAAAGCUCUUUCACCGGUGAAGAUAAUGACGGUAACCGGAGAAGAAGCCCCGGCUAACUUCGUGCCAGCAGCCGCGGUAAUACGAAGGGGGCUAGCGUUGUUCGGAUUUACUGGGCGUAAAGCGCACGUAGGCGGACUAUUAAGUCAGGGGUGAAAUCCCGGGGCUCAACCCCGGAACUGCCUUUGAUACUGGUAGUCUUGAGUUCGAGAGAGGUGAGUGGAAUUCCGAGUGGAGAGGUGAAAUUCGUAGAUAUUCGGAGGAACACCAGUGGCGAAGGCGGCUCACUGGCUCGAUACUGACGCUGAGGUGCGAAAGCGUGGGGAGCAAACAGGAUUAGAAACCCCAGUAGUCCC
rnacentral:rRNA from 1 species